rnacentral:rRNA from 1 species
CCUACGGGAGGCAGCAGUGAGGAAUAUUGGUCAAUGGACGCAAGUCUGAACCAGCCAUGCCGCGUGCAGGAAGACGGCUCUAUGAGUUGUAAACUGCUUUUGUACGAGGGUAAACGCAGAUACGUGUAUCUGUCUGAAAGUAUCGUACGAAUAAGGAUCGGCUAACUCCGUGCCAGCAGCCGCGGUAAUACGGAGGAUUCAAGCGUUAUCCGGAUUUAUUGGGUUUAAAGGGUGCGUAGGCGGUCGGAUAAGUUAGAGGUGAAAUCCCGAGGCUCAACUUCGGAAUUGCCUCUGAUACUGUUCGACUAGAGAGUAGUUGAGGUAGGCGGAAUGUAUGGUGUAGCGGUGAAAUGCUUAGCGAUCAGACAGAACACCGAUUGCGAAGGCAGCUUACCAAGCUACUUCUGACGUUGAGGCACGAAAGCGUGGGGAGCAAACAGGAGUAGAUACCCCAGUAGUC